rnacentral:tRNA from 1 species
GCCUCAGUAGUAUAAAAAUUACAUUGGUCUUGUAAACCAAAUAUGGGGUACCAAUCCCCUUGAGACA